rnacentral:lncRNA from 1 species
ACGGUACCAUGCUGUCCCAUGCCUACGCUUGUCAUGUUUGGCAUCCAUUGGCAUUAGUCCAUACCCUGCAUGCUGACUGGCAUGAACCAUAUAAGUUUAUGGUGCAAUUGGGCAUGGUUUUGUAUACAACAUCAAGUAUGAAUUAACAGAAGUAAUUUUGAGGUGCAUUUCUGUUUUCCUUUCAUGUUUGAUUUUUUUGGAAUGAAGUAAAUUGAAGACUGAACUUAGCUGUUUAUAGAAAUUCAACUAGAUUUCUGUUAUUUCUCAAUCAAAAGCAAAUUUCUGAUUUAGUUGAAGUCUUAUCCGCAAAUGAUUGUAUUUUGAAAUCCUGCAUGAUUUUGCAGUGCAUAAAUGAGACCAAACUUAUUAGGAUGUUACUCUGCUAAUGACUCUGUUUUAGUUGUGGCAUCAUGUGUCAUAGAGAAAAUUGGGAAUAUAGGUCAUUUAUAUUUUUUUAAUCCUUAAGUUUAAACAGAGACUGUCCAACUCAGUGGGCUAGGUUAAUUUGUGUUCUUUUAGAAGGUAAAGGUAAUACUAUCUUCUUCAAUAAUUGAAUUUGAAUACUGAAUUUAGGUUUUUUUGGCAUGGUGAACUCCUAGAUCUUGCGUUCUGCCGGAUUUUAGGUGUUCCUUCUUGUAUAUUACUUCUUCCAAUCUUCUUCGUAUGCUAUUUUCAGUCCAUUGUCGUAAGCACUUGACACGCGGAGCGCGUCUCGUGGGUGCAGUCGUCACCGCUACCGAAUAAUGCUGAGAAAAAUGGGUCGAAGCAAGGGCGGUAGGCGGGGAAGGAAGCGCUAACAGCCAACAAACCAAGUCUUUUUUCGUAUUUAGUGCUUCCCGCCGCGUGAAGCAAGAACAGAAACAAGGAAGGCAUCUCCUUUAACUCAAACGAAAUUCAAGAUCCACUGAAGGGUCUGGUUUGAAUUAGCAUAAAGUGAUAUCCCUGGUGUCGACUCUUUCCUGGAGUAGCUUUGUGCCUAGAAACCUCUUCUCUGACUAGAGUCCUGCCUAUGGGGUCGAACGUGAUAAUUCAUUCUGAUAUUUGAGGUCAGGCUCCUAUUUUGGCAAACAAAAGGGUUUGUGUUGAUCCUCAAUCUCGUCGCCUUCAGGUCUCUAGACAUGUGUUCUUUCGUCGAAAGCAUUAUGUUUU